GUGUAUAGAAUAGAUAAGACAAGGUAGGAGGAGUUUGAAAGAUGAGGAGUAUUACUUCCACUAAAACAACGCAACCCUGGAAGAUUACAGCCCCCUCCCAUGACGGAGCAGAGAAGGGAAGCAAACUCACAUCCAAGAUGGUGAGGGAGACACCGUCCACCAGCAGCUGAAUGCUUCCACUAAAACCUCCCUAUCAAUAUUCAGGGAUGAUUUCUGAAGUUUGGAUAAAGUCUAUCAAAUCCAACAGAGACCAAAGUGCCAGGCAUAUUUGUAGAGUCUAAACAGCUAUCACAGUCUACGGGAUCAAAGACUUCAGGUUGCUUCUGCUUAUUCUUCGGUGGGAAAGGUUUCCUUAUGAGUCUCUUCCCCAUGUGAAAGGCAGAGCUAAAGCUUUUAAAUGUAUUUAUACAUAUAUGGACAUGGAAUCUGUGUAUGCAGACAUUGCAAAAUUGUUGGAAGUUUGGAGAGGGAAGACUUUAAAUUCACAGGGAUUGUGCCAAAUAAGUACCAUGUAGCUUUCCGUGAAAACAGUAUCAGGCCACUCUGAGAUCUAUCAAGAUGCCCAUGUGCAUGACAAAUGGGGAGCAAAGGCUGCUUCAGGAGUUUUCCCCCUUCCAGGCUGGGAGGAGCAGAGCUCCGGGGACCCGCCAGUGCCUGAGCCGUAGCAAAUCUCCCUCCUGCCCAUGGCACCAGGCACAGGAGGGGAAGCCUGGGCUGGCACGGGAGCAUUUAAGGGAAGGCAAAUGAAAUUUUUCCAUUCCUGGAGGUCACCCACACUCAUUCCCCAGUGUGCACUUGCCUAUAAAGGACAUGGAGCGUGGGCAUAGACAGCCAAAAUAAACAGUGCUGCACUAAGGGGGAUUCUGAAGCUGUUAUUACCAGGCCAGGUUAUAUGCAGUGGGUCUAACUAUCUAAAUAUAUUUACUGGAGGUGAGGGGAAUGAUGGUGCCAGGAAGGGGGGGAUGGGUGGGAAAAAUUGUUUCAGUAAUUACAAUGAAGUGAUCGAAAAAGUCCUGGAAACGUGAACCCUGCUUUACACUGCCUCCCUCCCUCUCCCCCCCCAAGUUUCAUUAGCUUUUACAAAGGAGCGCUGGGGAGAUUAUUUAUCUUUGAUCAUUCCGGGAUCAAUCUGCAAAUGUACAAACGCACUUAAAAUCAGCAUUUGCCAACUGUAAAGCUCCACGUUACACCCUGUUUUUUAAAGGCCUCAGGAAGAUGCAAAAGGGAGACAAAGAGGAGAUGGAUGACUUCUGCAAGGCAUUUAAGAAAUUGUUUGAAGAGAGCAGCUGCCCCCCAUCCUGAUUAGCUGUGUAGCUCUCUGUCAGCUUGAUUUCAAAAGCAGAAUCACUCUAACUGCCUCCAAAGAAGAGGGCGAAGACAUUUGAGAAAGUAAUUUGUAAACAUUUAUCAUGGCUCUGCCCAGGCGGGCAGGCACAGUCUUUACUCGGGAGCUGCCGUGUGCUGCAUGGGUGAUGAACAGCCACGUCCCACCCCAGAGCUGGCCGCACUCUGGCGAUCCAGCUAAUACCUGCAUUUUACUUGCCCGGGGCUGCUCCUGUUUUUGCAGAGGACAGGGCAAAGAUCCACCUUCAACAAAGGCUUUUUAAAGUGAGACUUAUAAAAAGUAUGCCAGGAACUUGGUUUCCUUACCUUCAACCAGGGGAGAGAAAACGGAGGAAAAUGGCUCCGUAUUUGAAUUGCUGCUUCUUUAUGAAUUACUAAAUAUUGAGCACAAAAAUUUGACAAUUUGAGAAAUUUUCUCUUACAGGAUUUGGGUUUUUCCUUCCUGACUGACUGAAAGGUGUGCUUAAAAAUUAGACAUAUUACCAUGCAUCUUACAACGGCCAGGACAAUUCUGGAAAACAGACCUUUUCCCAGUAUUGGAAGGAAGGCCCCAGGACACUAUGCCACCCCAGAUUUUAGGAAUGGCAUAUGAGACAAGGAACUGUGUGUCUCUUGCCUAGGACACUGUAUAUCCCCUGUCCCAUCCCCUCCAAGACACAGCCCCUGGUAGCAUGAUUGCUUCCAGAACAGGAGCAGAAAACAGGCUUCUGCCCCCAACCUGUGUGGACAUUGAUGUGUGACCCAGUACAAAGGCAUACUUCUUGUUCCCUGGAGAGGAUGAGGUUGCUUUUUAGAUUUAUUAGCCUGGAUAUACUUUCCCGGCUAGGUUUGCUUGCUCUCCCUCCCGCACAAGCUCUUGGAAAACAGCGUUUUCCAAGCAGCAACUCCCAGACCUGCAGAGCUUCCCGUGGCUGGCGUGGGCAGCACACAAGCUUUGCUCAGAGAGGCUCCUCUGUGGUAGUUUAAGCUCUCUUUGCACUGUCCUGCCAUCCCUCUGCUAGAAAAUGGGUCUGAACCCACAGGACAUCGGCCAUGCACCUGUGAUCGCUUUUUCCUGCUGGUCUCGAAGAGAAAAAAGCAUAUAGAGAAGCACUGCUGCAGGUAACAGGGACCCCAUGGUUUCCAUCAGCUGGUGGCAAUGCUGAUGAUAGGUAUAGAAAAGGAAAUUAUAUUUAACAAAAAGGAGUAUUUGCCUUCUGCAUGAGACCUUCCCCCUCUCUUCACUCCCUUUCUGUUUACUGCUGCGGGGAUGUAGUGACCGACCGCGCAGCACUGACCUUCCCUCUGCUGCCCGGCUGCCGCGUGGGGCUGGAGCAGCCGUGGGGCUGGAGCAGCCGUGGGGCUGGCUCUUCUCCUGUGCAGUGAGAGAGGGAGGCAUGUUCCACUGAAGGCACACUUGUGUCCAGUCCCUGUAAGAGGACAACCUCCACUUCUGAGCAGACGGGUAAAUUUUAUCUCUAGACUCUACAAGAACAUCAGGGCAUCUGCCAGAGAUUUUCAGCUGAUCUCUGUAUUCUUGUUUCAAUGUUAUUACUUUUUUUUUUUUUUCCUUUCUUUACCCCAACUCAUUUCACUGGCACUUUUACCAACAUUUCCUACAUUUUUCAAGACAUGAUAGUCUGGCUUUCUGAUGACCUAUCGCAAGACAAUGUUGGGCUGCUUAUCAGUGAAAGGUACCUUGUCAACCGACUCAGGAGCAGUGUUAUAUUUAAAUGGAAGCAGAUGAAAAGCCAUAGGGAAUAGAAACCUCCGCUGCAAAGGUAUUAAAGAAGAGACUGUUGUGUGAACAGGGAUAUGGGGGGAGGUGAAGUUGUAGCCUUUGGAGUUAGCUGUGGGCUUAGUGUAUAACUUAUUCUGUCUAACACUUGCCGUGAAAUAUCCUAACAAUACUCAGGCACUAGUGGUAGCAGAGAUAUUAUCACUUGGGGAGACAACAGAAAUGGCCUUAUCAUUUUGACAAUGGCUUUUUUCCCUUAUUAUCGCUAAGUAACAAUAUCUCUAUUUCACUGCCACUACUGAGCCAUUGUUUUUUUGAUAAAUAGGGUCCUUUUUGUGAUUUCUUUUUUCCCCACUUGUAUUUUAUCCUCUGUGCGUGUGUGCAUGUGAGCAGAUUUUAAAAAAAGAUGUUCCACCUGAUGGUACAAUAUUAAAGACUACACCUCUUAAAAGCCAAGGAAGCUGUCAGAAGGGAUAUCUACAUGAAUGUAUAGCUUGCUUGGUGUCUAAGGGACUUGUGGUGCACCUAGGCUCAAAGAAUGUCCAUUCUUCCUCUGGGGUCCCCACACCCCUGAAUAAAAACUGGGAGUAUAUAAGAGCUGGAGUGUGUAAGAGAUGUUAGGACCCAUUUGUCAGUAGGAAUGUCAUAUUGCAUUAGAAAAUGCCUAUAACAAAAUCUGCAUGCUUUGACAUGCGGUUUGUCCUCAGAUGCUCGUGUAAAGGCACCAUCUCCAGCACAGCUAUAUCUCUUGCAAAUGCAAUGGAUUGUGUUCUCCUCACUGUGGUCCCCAAAUGCCUCAACUGAUGGGGCCAUAUCCCAUCUUUCUUCCAGCCUCGUUCCAGACCUGAAAAACCUUCAAGGACUGAGCAGCAGUUAGACUGGGUGUAUAUAGUUCUAUUAGAUAUGGUAUAUAGUGACGUCUGGAUGUAUUCACAUUUGAGUCAGCUGAACAUUUUUCCUCACUUAUCCUCUAUUCUCUUUCCAUUCCUUUCUCAUGCCCAUCCCUAUGGUGUCUGAGCACUGCUGUCUACCUGACUUACCACCGUUGUUAUGGAUUAUCAUCUGCCGGGCUAUGAGUGUGCUCUCCCAUUAUCCACUCAUCAUCCACAGUGGCUCUGUCUGGAUACUUCUUUCUGCUGAUACCAUCAGCUGCCACUGUCUAUUCUGCGCACAAUAGAGAACCCUCCUAUCUGAGCCCAUUGCUAUGGUUACAGGCAUCCUGCGGGCGGUGGGAUCAACAGGAGCCAUAAAUGAAGGUACUACUGCGGUAUUUGCAUAAAGACUCCCUACCUGCUGUGGAACGGCCACGUUCUCCAAAACAACUCCCACGAGUUUCUGUCACUGCCGUUGCAAAUUUGUAUGGACGGUCUGGGACAUCAGGACUCAAUUUAUGCUUUCUUGGCUUGGACUCAUAGUGAGAACACUUUUUAUGGAGGAGGAGAGAAAAUUUACCUUAGAAGAUGACAGUACUCACCUCCCUUAGAUAUGAAAUAAUAAGGAGGAAGGUCAGUAUUUACUCUCUCCCCACCUUUGCACACCUGGCUUUGCAGAGAGCCUCAAAGCACUUCAACCAGCAACAGGCUAAGCUACUUGUAAGCCCCAAAUGCCCAAGCACCAGGGAAGUGAGUCAUCUAUCAUACACAUGCUCCAUCACUUCCAUUGCAGUACUAAAUGAUGCGCUCAAAACCUGCCACUAAAAGGAGAGAAAAUGUGACCAGCCUAACUGCUAUCAGAAAGUUAAAUGCUUAAAAUAAUGUCACUGGAGGAUCGAAGAGGAAAGAACGGGAGGUAAAGUAAGCUAUUUUCCUCAUCUGUGUUAUUUUUUUCCCCCAAACAGAGGAGGCGCAUAGUGAAAUUAACCUCUACUCCUUUGAUUUUUCCCUCUCCCUCUCUCUUGUGCACACACAUUCUCUCUCUCUCUUUUAAGGCUUAUAUAUUAUGAUUUGAUGCAGGAGGAUUUUUCAUUAGCAGAUGUGAGUAAGGCUUUAAUACAAAUCAGUCCGGAGAGUCUUUUGACAGGAUUUUUAAAUAGUGUCCCUUGUCUCCCUGAUGCAGCUGCAUGCUAUCUUGUUCCCAUGCUGACCUCUCUGUCUUUCCUCAUUAAAGAACAAGUCCAGGCUGCUGAGCCUUCUCUCUUUUUGGAGAUCUUCACUGCUUUGUCUCACGCACAGUCACUCCUGCUGCUGACCGACAGCUCCUCACCCCCAGUAAUUUCUGCACUGCAUUAAUUUCUCAUUAAUCUACAUCAUGAUUUAUGAGUCUGAAAUGAUGGAAGACUUCUAGAGGAGCGCUUCUCAUUUGGCCUGCUGGCUUUUCUCCCUCGCCCCUUCACCUGCCUUCUUCAAAAGCAAAUAGGCCUCUUCUCCCACACUGCCUGUCUGCAGAGCAUUGUUUCUGCGGAUGGUCCAAAGGGGGAGAAACAGGUUAAGCAUGGUGCUUUCUGGCUGCUUUCCUUAUAAAUGAUUUGAGCAAAUAAAUGCUAGGGAGAAAAAGGACCCACUUUCCUUUUCUAAAGACCUUUAGUAGCUGCUCUCCAAGUCUGUGACUGUGCUGUGGCUCUGACUGCUGCUGAAUUUGGCAGCCCCAGGGGGUUGCUGCCAAAGCCUCUGGAGUUUGGAGAGGUUUCAGCAUGGAAACCUUCAACCACCCUCCAGGGAUCAAUCGCGUUAGGAAGAGGGAUGGUGACUCCUGGCAGUGCAGAGAGCUGGACCUUCAGGCCAUGGGUAGAUGAACCGCUGGACAAUUUGAGGGCAUGUUGCUAUAAGGCUGUUUUAGUCUAGCUCAGGGCAAUGGGGAAAAGAGUAAAUCUGCACACUCCCUCUACUUAUUUCAUGGGACUCUGUAAUAGCCCUGCAUCAAAAUUAUCUUUCCUCCUGUUUUCAUGAGUAUGUGUAAAAGAGAAUGGAAAAUUACUCAGUUUUAGUAAGUCAUCAGCACUUUGUGUGCUUCCCCAAAACUCCUGAAUUUGUAGAAUUUGAGGCUAUAAAUAGAAACGGGAUUUCCUCUUCCCUUCUGGUUAUUGGUACACUGCUCUGGUCCUCAGGAGAGUCAGAAAACACAAAGAGGUGAAAAAUGUUUUGUUUAGCAGACAAGAGAAGAAAAUGCUGAAUGCACUGGGCAAGACUGAAUAAAUGCAGCAUAUGGUUAUGGCAGCAGUGGGAAAGUGAAUAAAGGAGUCAGGAGGGACGGAAGAAGCAAUGGGUGGAGGUUGAUUACAAAAUCCUUUGUGCUCUGCUUUGACUCCUCUGGUCCACUGCUCAGUAAAGUCAAUGGAAAUAUUGCUAUUGACUUCCUGGCAAUGCAUUCAAAUUUCAGACAAUUAAGCCAUGCUAAAUUUCAGACAGAAAUACUUCUCACAACACAAUAGCUCAGGAUUCAUAAGCCUGAUGAUCCCACCAAAAAAGAAUAAAAACUACCUGAACUUUUCCAUUGCAGGAAGAGGUUUACUUUCAGGUGAGUUUAGGAGAAGAGGAUUUGUCUUGAAUCUUUAUUUUCCUGGUGUCUUCUGAAACCACGAUAUUCACAAAUUGAUGCAGAUCUUCUCACAUACAGCGUGUGAAGGUGGUUCUAGCUCUCAGUCUGCCAGCCUGCCAAAGAGAUGAUUUACAAAAGCAGUGGUGACCAGGCCUAGCAAUAAAGCUUAGUUGCUACUGCAUGAAUAUGUAGAUGAAUAUGUAGUUACUCUGACAGCAACAGGGGAAAGCUGUUUCUUUGGGGGCUGGAAAUAGAAGGGGGAAAUUGCUCAGCUUUUUAGCCAUUGUUUUAAAUUGAUAUUUAGGAGAGCAAUUUCUGUGCUGCUUGGAAAAGAGGAGAGUGAAAAAGAAAGAACUUUGUGUAAAAAUCUUUCCGAUUGUACUUUGUUAAUCUUUUAAAUCUUUUGAAUUUGGGUAGCACGGCUCAAAAGGGAAAAUCAGAAAUUGUCUCUAUGUAAAUAGAGCUUUUACAGAGAGCACAAAAGCUCGGUUUGGGAAGAGGGUAAAAAUAUUUUAAUAGGUAACCUUUUAUUCGGCAAAAUAUGUAUUACUUCCUAUUAUGAUAAACAGUUGGCAUAUUUGAGAUGAAAAUGUUUAUACAUAUACAUUACAAUUACAUAUUCAUUUGACUUUAUAUUACAUACACAACUCAAUUUGAAUAAAUGUCUGAAGCCAAAGGAAUAAAUUAGGAUUGGUGCCGAGUGCUUUCUUUGCCCUUCUCCAUUGUGUUUGCAAGAUUUGCAUUUUAUAGUUGCACAUUAACAAAUAUGCAUAUUUCAUUAUGGUUUUGGAUUAAAAGGUUAUCAUCUCCGUUACCCAUUAGUAAUAAACAAACACAGGCUUUCCAUGUGAAUUUAUCCCUGGCUCAGCUGUUUGCUGAUUAGGUUGUUGUCGCUGGGUUUCCUUGUUUUCUCCUUGUGGAGAAUCCCUAAAGCGGUUUCUAAAGUGCUUAUUGUCCUCUGGGGAGCAGUGAAUGAGAAAAGGAGGCAGGCGAAGAAGAGCCAGAGGCAUCCUAAGGUGGUGAAAAGACAGGAAGGUAGGGCCAGGACCAAUUUGCAGUCAGGUUAGGAGCUUAGUUUCAUCCCCAAAGUCCAGGCCCUGUGGCAAAAAAAGAUCCUUGGAAAACCUGGUUGAAGGCUGUGCAGGGUCAGAUAUCCUCAGAAACCUGCUGAUGGGCAGGAAGCAAUGAAGUGAUCACCCCAGUGUCCAAAAGAUGGCAAUUUCAAAUCAGGCUGUUCCUCCUGUGCCGGUGUGAUCCAAAACCCCUGAAUCUGCACAUAGGGAGACCUUGGACCUGGAGAACUUGGCACCUGGCAUCAGCUGGGAGGGGGGAAGAAGGCGUCACAUUUUUACUGGCACCCACUGGUGUGAGCCCCGAUGGGGCUAUGCAGGUGGCACAUUGUUCCAGCAGACAUUCACCCAAGGUUGAAGCCAAUUGGACUAAACCUAGCAGCUUGAAGUCUCAGCAGCUCUUGUUCCUUGACAACCUCAUCACAGCAUCUUAGUUCAACCUGUUUUGCCAAACCCCCCUUAUUGAUCAGUUCUGUGUUUGCAGGCACUUGUAGGGUGGAGGUAACGAGGGAUCGGGGCUGAAGGAUCCCUGGUUGUCCAAGCUGGGGCCCAGGCGGUUAUCACCACUCUGGAGUAAACAGCACGGAUGCUGGGGGAGAUUUUUUUAGAGUAGCUGAAUUUUGAGGAGGCUUUGCAUUCAGCAUCCAAAAAAUAGCAAGGACCCAUUUCUACAGGCAGCGGGUACAGGAGGCUGCCCUGUGAAGUCAACAUUGGAGGAAGGCUGUCACCUCCCAGAAGGGAGCGUCAACGUCUUAAAGCCAGGUGCUAUUUGCCAAGCUGAUGCUGGGGCUGGAUCAGUGUCCUCUUGUAAUAGAGCUGUGCAUGCCAUAGGAUUAUAGUCUUUGGCUCUAGCUAUUCACCUACAGCAAAUAAGCUCCAUGUGUAAAAGCCAAUGGAAUUUUAAUGGAUUUUUAUUUUCACUUUAUUGGAUUUUCCUUUCCUUGUCUUUUUAAUACAACUUUGCUAGAGUCAGUGGGUGUGAAUGCCUCAAAAGAAGCCAUUUGGUUUUAUUUUUCCUCUUCUUCAGGGGAAAGGAAAAUGAAAAGAUUCUGUGGCUCUUCAGCAGAAGAAAUAAAAAUAGAGAAUCCCUGUGGGGCUAUCCACACAGCUCCUAGGAUGCUACUUUGGGGUCAUCUGAUGUGCCCUGCUGUUGUCACCUUGGUGUUGCUGCCCUCUGUUUACUCCCUAACCCUCUCUGCAGGUCCUUUGCUGUCCCAGACCUGCUUUCCAGGUGGCAUCGUGAGCAUAAUUGCCCAAAGCUGUCCCCUUCUUAGGCCAGGUCUGGACACUCCUUACCAAUGCCCUUGAGGAUCCCUUUCCAACUGCUAAAACAAGGAGCCCCGCUUGCUGGUGUUUCUGAGCAGUCACCCCAUGCUGGCACACCAGCCCGGU